UCCUCCGUGGCGCAAUUGGCUAGCGCGUCUGACUGUUAUCCUAUCUCUUAGGUGGUUUGACAUAAUCAGGAGGUUGACAGUUCAAGCCUGUCCGGGGGAG